rnacentral:rRNA from 1 species
UUCCGCAAUGGACGAAAGUCUGACGGAGCAACGCCGCGUGAGUGAUGAAGGCUUUCGGGUCGUAAAACUCUGUUGUUAGGGAAGAACAAGUGCUAGUUGAAUAAGCUGGCACCUUGACGGUACCUAACCAGAAAGCCACGGCUAACUACGUGCCAGCAGCCGCGGUAAUACGUAGGUGGCAAGCGUUAUCCGGAAUUAUUGGGCGUAAAGCGCGCGCAGGUGGUUUCUUAAGUCUGAUGUGAAAGCCCACGGCUCAACCGUGGAGGGUCAUUGGAAACUGGGAGA